UGGAAAGAGCAAGCAGAGAAGAAGAAAACAGACAACCCUGGCAAUAGGUUCUGAAGGAUGAAUAGGAGUUUGCCAGGUGCAGGCAACAUUCCAGGCAAAGGGAACUGCACAUGAACAGAGGCCCUGCAUCCAUUCACCACAUAUUUAGUAAGUGCCAUUAAGGUGUUGG